GGGGAUGUAGCUCAGAGGGAGAGCGCCUGCCUUGCAAGCAGGAGGUCGGCGGUUCAAGUCCGCUCAUCUCCACCA
rnacentral:tRNA from 2 species